rnacentral:lncRNA from 1 species
GAGUUGCUGCUAUAUCAUGGUAGAUGUUAAUUUAAUUAACCUACUUAAUCCUAUGUUGUUGUCUUGCCUUGAUGUUUUUGGUUGUUGUGAGCUUGCAAGUACAUUCAAUGUACUGACCUGGCGUGUCAUGCCAGAUUGCAGGUGAUGCCGUGAUUGCUUGAUUUCUUGUCGUGGUUUCCGUUCGUGCGAGCUAGAUCGUGUCCCAGCCAGAGUCCAUGUGGAGUGGAGUUCACCACCUUCGUCGUUGUUCCGCUGCUAGAAGAUUUCCGCUGCUACGAGUUGUUCUGCUUCUAGCAUAGAGCAAGUGUAGUAUCGCAGGCGUAGUGUCGCCAUGCUGAUGUGCUCCUUUGUAACAUCAGACCUUUGUAUGUGUUCUUGUAAUAAGAGCUGAUUUGUUCUAUGUCAAGCAGUGCCGUAUUCCAGAAGACUUCAUCUCGAUCUCUGGGCUGGAAGACGGGGCGUUCUGGUUUCUCUGAGCCGGGGUGCCACAGGCUUGAUAUCAUAGUAGGUCUGGCUAUAGGACGCCUAGUUAGCGCGAGCGGUAGAAACCGUUAGAAAGCGGUAAUAUAGAGUCUGGUGUGUUUAUUGCAUUUGGUUGCUGCAUUUGUUUGUUGCAUAGCAUGCAUGUAGUCUUAGUAUUUGUUAUAAAGGUUUAUCUAGUGAGUGUAGUUGGCAUCGGUUCGGAUCCACUACAGCUCAACCUUUGCAUUUUUUCAGUUCCUUUUUCUUUCGGUGUUUGGUGUCAAUUCUGUCCCAGCAGAGUGACACCAAGUGAUCCCGACACUGUUUGCAAAAAUGGUUCUCAGGUAUCGCGCCCAUGUCUUUCUUUCAGUCUCGUCUAUCAUUUCGGUGAUGGACAUGUUUCUACCCCGGAUCGUUCUUUUAUUUUGUCAUGUUGGCAACCCUUAAUGAUCUUAGUUAUCAAGAAAGGGCAAUGUCAGCAGCCUCAGUUUUUUUCCCUGCUAUCCUAUUUUUGGACGAGUAUGGAUCUUUUUCUGUCCGCUUGAUAAUAAUGUAGUUGCGACCUUCAUGUCCCACUGCAUGAUUACCGAGUGCGUCCUUGCCUCCGAGCUAGUUCAGGUUGCUAUCUGGCUAAGCUAGCACUUGGUGUAGCGCUGUUUACACCAACUCUUCCACACAUUUAUUCGUCAUCGUGCACAUCGUCACAGCAUGCUAGAUCGUAGAACCGGAGAUCCCGUGAAAUUUGUGUGCUUAAGUAGGCAUGCAUAUUGUGUGACUAGCAGUAAUAUGUGACAUUGAUUGUGUGUGAUUUUUUUGUUGUUGUGUGCUUUUGUUUAGUUGAGUUUUCUUUUGCUUCUUUCUUUUUGGGCCCCGGUGUUACAUUAUUUUUCCCUAUAAAGAGUCGCUCAUCCACCGACACCAGACCGAAAGAAGCAUUAAAGAUUUGAAAUUUUUGAAAGAAUCUCAGCUAGACAUUAUUGUCUACCCAGUCAACUGCAUUAUGGGAUUAAUUAUCAGCAUCGAGUCCCCAUCAGUGCAAAAUCCUCACAGCAGUUAUGAUCCAGCCAACAGAAAGACAAGUCAAGUACAAGACCAAUGAUAUAUUUUCAGACAGAGGUAUGGAUCAUAUAAAGAGUUUUGGCUUAGCAAUGCAUGAUGCUUGAAAUAUGUUAUCAUUCGAAAUAAAAUCAGAAUAUGAUAUGCUCAAGGAAGAUAGUCGAACCAUUUUUCUCAUGCAAAUAAUCAGCCUCAGAAUAGUAUGGGCAUGUGCAUGGAUUUCAUUCUGCAUAUCCGUAUGAAGUUGUGAAUAUAAGAAACCCAGUAUUCUUCCACAUGCUAUUGGAAGAAUUCAUGAUGCAAGGCUCCUCAACUUUUCCUCCUUAUGAUAUGUGAACAAUUUCCGGUCCAUGAUACCCAGUCUUUCACAUCAAGACACCUUAGUAAAGGCUUCUGACAUAUGGAAAUGAAUUUUUUUUAUUCUCAACAAGCUAACCCGAGGAGAGGCUUCUCAAGUAUGGAACUCAGGCUUCUCCAGCACAAUAAUCAGACCAAGCUUCGUGUGUAAGCUAUAGACCUUUUGCUGCACAAUACACAGACAAAAUAUUUAAGCAGAAGUUAACAAGUCUUCCUCAGCAAGCUACUCAGAUGGCUUCUCUUGUAAGCCACUCAGUCCGCGUCAGUACCACAAUAUUGCACCAUCCUCUGAGAUUAUAUGAUGAGUUGCCGAUGUAUGGCAGUACUGCUCAAGGACCAGAUUUGCAAUAAUUUUGUCAGAGGUAAAAUUCAGACAAAACAGAUGCCUACCGCAAGGAUCGAGUGAUCGGUGGCAUAUCCUUCUUAUAUGUGGUGAGCAUGCAUCCCCAGUCAUAUCAGUAACUCAUACAAGAUGCGUCAAAGAUCCAGCAGAUAUACCUAAGAAAAGUAAGGAUCCCACAACCUCCCCAGUCAGGCAAAGGAAAAUAAGAAAAAAAUACAUCUCAUGUGAUGCAAGGAGCGAUAAUAUUUGGAGAUGACAUCACAAAAUCCACAGUCUUGACAAUGGUCAUCAAGAUCAUUAUUCCCGCAAUUGACAAGGAGAUAUUAUAAAAUCUUGUUACCUUCUUGUAUGAUUGGCCUCAGCAAUGAGCUCCGUAUGGCUACAAACCCCGGGUAUAUGUCAUAUGUGUGCGGACCCAGAUUAGAAAACAAGCACAAGGACUAAUGUCAAAAAUAUUGCACUAAUCGCAUCCAUGGUCAUACGAAGAAUCAAGGACAGGUGUGGCCAAGUUGUUUCAGUAAGGUAUCCUAACAAAGAAAAUUAUGACCGUAAAAAGAAUGAGACUGACAGCAAAGCAUGAUGAUUUUUGCACGACCAUCAGGGUCCGGAUACCCAAAUCAGUUGGAGGCCAUAAUCCCAUAUGGAUCCACAAUGUCAUACUCUCAGUGGCCUACUCUAUUUACAAGGAUUUUUCAUAUCCCGCUGACCCUCUUGACAUGGUUAGUGUGGAAUAUCCAAGUCUGUUCUGUCAGAUCCAAGAUUCCUUUGCAACCUCAGCAGUCUGACUUCAGCGACAAUGUUAAAAUAUAUCACAUCCUAUUACCACAGAUGGGUAUAUCAACCACAUGAGAAAAAUCAAAAGCCGAACAAUCAGCUCAGACCCAGUAUACUCACCGACGGAAUCAAUUACAUGGUCAGUCUGUCAGGAAAGGCAAUUGUCCGUCAGCCCCUGUCGGGCCAAUCUCAAGAUGUAAAUAAUUGAAGUAUGGCACAGCUAUAACUCCAUACACUGUUAUAUUGCUCACGACAGAAGGCAGUCAAAUAUUUGGUACAUAUCCCAUGCUCGAGCCAAGGAAAUAAAUCAAGAUAAAUCAGUGCCACCUGUUAGAAGUCAGAUCCCAUCAGAAGAUGGUCAUGAUAAUUCUUAGCAUUUAUUGAAACCAGAAGGCCUGCAUUUAUUUGAAGCAACCACAUGACAAAAGUAAAAAGGUUUUCAUGAUCAAAAGAAAAAUUAUGCUCAGAUCCAUUGGAUACCACCGCAGAUAUGAGAAAAUUCAUGUCAGUAAAAGGAUUCGGUAUGUGAGCAAAAAUCCAUCAGAAUUUGUGGAAAGGUGAAGCAAACCACCCCAGAGGAAUCUAAGUUGAUCAUCUGAAAUCCUUGUGGAACAAUACAUAAAGGAAAAAGGAUACCCAAGUUGGAGACGGUGUCCUCAAGUCAUACUGUUUGUAACAGCCUCUAACGAGGGAAGGUUAUGGGCGCGCGCUACCCUGAUCAGGUAGGCGGACAUAAGCCUUGUGUGCCCGGUUUUGAUUUGAUUUUGCGCGAGGAUCCCAGAGUGGAUCGGGCCACGACAGUGGUCGUUGUGUCUGGAGGUAGACACAGGGCCACCCAUGACUUAGCCCAGAGGGGAGUGAGUCGGAGUGGCCGAGAGAGUGUCAUGGCAGUAGAUCGGUUUUGUCGGAAUGCCAUUGGUCCACCCGAAUGGGAGUGUGAGGCCAUGGGUUCUGUGGUGUGGGUACAGUGCGCUACCUCUGCAGAGUGUGUGUUUAACCUAUCGAUAGCCGCGUCCUUGGUCAUGGGCAUGGGAUCGUACUAGGGUACACCGUUCAAUCAACACUCACAUGAUAGAAUGACUUAUAGGUGACGGAUAUGUGGAUAUUUGGAGUAGUACAGAUUGGCCAUUUAUUGGUCGGGUUGUCAUCGCCGUAAGGAUCACGGGCCAUUUAUUGGUCGGGUUGUGAUCAUCGUAAGGAUCACGGGACAUUCAUUGGUCGGGUUGUGAUCGCCGUAAGGAUCACGAGCCAUUCAUUGGUCGGGUUGUGAUCGCCGUAAGGAUCACGAUUACAGUUUGGUUUUGAUCAUGACGUGAUCGAGAUGGUAUAUAUCUUGGCCGGUUAGCCAAGAGAGAUAUGGUUAUGGAGAUCGGAGAUGGUGAUUUAUCAGUAUUGUAGUAGUUUCAUAUUAUGCUUAGGAGUUGUUGUUAUAUCAUGGUAGUUGUUAAUUUAAUUAACCUGCUUAAUGCUAUGUUGUUGUCUUGCCUUGAUGUUUUUGGUUGUUGUGAGCUUGCAAGUACAUUCAAUGUACUGACCUGGUGUGUCAUGCCAGAUUGUAGGUGAUGCCGUGAUUAAUUGCUUGAUUACUUGUCGUGGUUUCCGUUCGUGCGAGCUAGACCGUGUCCCAGCCAGAGUCCCUGCGGAGUGGAGUUCACCACCUUCGUCGUUGUUCCGCUGCUAGAAGAUUUC